CUUUCGUGUCGUUGCUCCUCCACGUUGUUGCUCCUCUGCUUGGCUUCAAUCAGAAACGAUAAUGGAGUCAUGGACUGAUGUGAAUGUAGAGUGAAACAGAAAUCAAAGAGGAAGAAGAUGAAGGCGUUAAUGCGGACUGAAGAGAAGAAGAACCGUGUUGGGACCCUCACGAUCGGACCUUCAAUCAAGGUUUGGGAGCCUUACAACGUCUUCGAUUCACCUAUGUUUCUCUUCGCCUCUGGAUCAAGCUAGAUCUAUGGCUGUUUCUCAUUAGUUUUGUGUAUUUUAGUAUAUAUAUUAUUAUAUGACGGGGAAACACAAGAAUCAAGCAUAGUCCAUUGGUUUA